UUACAUUAGUUAUGUUCCCGCUCCUAACCAAAAAACGGAAGUGGGAUGUAAAUCUUGUUCUGUGAGAAUCACCUUGCUACCUUGUUGUGUAAGUCCUGAAGUCUUACUUUAGUCAUUAGUUAGUUACUUUAGUCAAUGCUGAGGUGGUACAGUAUGUCUGCCAUGAAAAAAGUGAUUGCUAGACAUGUUCUCCACUGCCAGUUAGACAGCAUCAAUUAGCGAGUCUGAUCGGUGGCACUGGACCCACUCUGAAGUUCCCACUGGCAGUUGGAUGAUAUAUUUUACUGCUUGAUCACCUUCUUUGGAAUGGGUGGGGUCCAGUCUCAGGCAGUGUCUACAGGAGUGGAGGAGAGGCAUCAUCUCUGCAACGGCUGUGGACAACCAGCUGGGCUUCUCAUGUCUGGAAGGUUUGAAUGCACAGACAACUCUCUCCUCAACACGCUAAGGAGACCUCAUCGCCAUCAUUUGUUGCUGUCCUUGCCAGAGAGAAGGAGCUUAGCAAGUGCCUUAUGGGAGAUGACCAGGAUGACUGCUUGGUCUAAUGCUUCCUUGUCCACAGUAAUGUGGUGCUGGUGCUGUUGCUUCUGCAUCUGUACUAGAGACUGAACAGGGAUGUGGGAGGAGGACUGGACACCAUGUCCAUGUGAUGUAGUUUUUUGACUGUUCCUUCGAUUAUGGCACCAAUAUGACAAAGAACCUCUAUAGGACACCGUGGCUUCAGAGAAAAAUGACCGUAGCGCAGUGUUGAAAUGUUAAAAAGACAAUGAGAAAACAGAAGCUUGUCUGUGGCUCUGAUGCUGUUCGUUCAAAUCACACUCUAUCAGGAGAGAGAGAGAGAGAGAGAGAGAGAGAGAGAGAGAGAGAGAGAGAGAGAGAGAGAGAGAGAGAGAGAGAGAGAGAGAGAAAUGUAAGCACCAACAAAUAAGCUGCACAAUCUCUAACGACAUAACUAAUGUUCUAUUCCCCUUCUAACCACCAGAGGUCGCUAGAAUCACUUGGCUGUCCCCUGCCACGAUGUCAAGAGGAAUCUACCCACAUUAGAACUGACUAAAAAGAGUUCAUUACCAUAAUUUUCAGCGAUAAAUGUUACUCAUGUUGUUAUAACCUUGUUGUUAUGAACGUUGUUACAUUUCAGUGUGUUACUGCAUCAGCUAUAUACAGUCGAAAUGACAAUAAAAGCCUCUUGACUUGA